CACCGCGGUUAUACGAGAGACCCAAGUUGAUGACUUUCGGCGUAAAGAGUGGUUAAGAGAGCCCCACACUAAAGCCGAACGACCUCAUAGCUGUUAUACGCGCAUGAAAGUACGAACCCCAACUACGAAAGUGGCUUUAAACUCCUGACCCCACGAAAGCUAGGAAA
rnacentral:rRNA from 2 species